rnacentral:rRNA from 1 species
UACGGAGGGGGCUAGCGUUGUUCGGAAUUACUGGGCGUAAAGCGCACGUAGGCGGCUUUGUAAGUUAGAGGUGAAAGCCCGGGGCUCAACUCCGGAAUUGCCUUUAAGACUGCAUCGCUAGAAUUGUGGAGAGGUAAGUGGAAUUCCCAGUGUAGAGGUGAAAUUCGUAGAUAUUGGGAAGAACACCGGUGGCGAAGGCGGCUCACUGGCUCGUAACUGACGCUCAUGCACGACAGCGUGGGGAUCAAACAGG